rnacentral:rRNA from 1 species
GAUGAACGCUGGCGGCGUGCCUAAUACAUGCAAGUCGAGCGAACGGACGAGAAGCUUGCUUCUCUGAUGUUAGCGGCGGACGGGUGAGUAACACGUGGAUAACCUACCUAUAAGACUGGGAUAACUUCGGGAAACCGGAGCUAAUACCGGAUGAUAUUUUGAACCGCAUGGUUCAAAAGUGAAAGACGGUCUUGCUGUCACUUAUAGAUGGAUCCGCGCUGCAUUAGCUAGUUGGUAAGGUAACGGCUUACCAAGGCAACGAUGCAUAGCCGACCUGAGAGGGUGAUCGGCCACACUGGAACUGAGACACGGUCCAGACUCCUACGGGAGGCAGCAGUAGGGAAUCUUCCGCAAUGGGCGAAAGCCUGACGGAGCAACGCCGCGUGAGUGAUGAAGGUCUUCGGACCGUAAAACUCUGUUAUUAGGGAAGAACAUAUGUGUAAGUAACUGUGCACAUCUUGACGGUACCUAAUCAGAAAGCCACGGCUAACUACGUG